rnacentral:rRNA from 1 species
GAUGAACGCUAGCUACAGGCUUAACACAUGCAAGUCGAGGGGUAACGAGAGGGAAGCUUGCUUUCCUUGUCGACGACCGGCGCACGGGUGAGUAACGCGUAUCCAACCUGCCCCCAACUAGGGAAUAACCUUGCGAAAGUAAGACUAAUACCCUAUAAUUUCCUCAGAUGUCAUCUGACGAGGAAUAAAGAUUUAUCGGUUGUGGAUGGGGAUGCGUCUGAUUAGCCUGUUGGCGGGGUAACGGCCCAACAAGGCAACGAUCAGUAGGGGUUUGGAGAGGAAGGUCCCCCACAUUGGAACUGAGACACGGUCCAAACUCCUACGUGAGGCAGCAGUGAGGAAUAUUGGUCAAUGGGCGGAAGCCUGAACCAGCCAAGUAGCGUGCAGGAUGACGGCCCUAUGGGUUGUAAACUGCUUUUAUACAGGAAUAAAGUUAGCCACGUGUGGUUAUUUGUAGGUACUGUAUGAAUAAGGACCGGCUAAUUCCGUGCCAGCCGCCGCCGUAA